ensembl:snRNA U1 U1 spliceosomal RNA
AUACUUACCUGGCAGGGGAGAUACCGUGAUCAAGAAGGCGGUUCACCCAGGGCGAGGCUCAGCCAUUGCACUUCGGCUGUGCUGACCCCUGCGAAUUCCCCAAAUGUGGGAAUCUCGACUGCAUAAUUUCUGGUAGUGGGGGACUGCGUUCGCGCUCUCCCCUG